UUAGGGCACGAGGCGCUCUCCCCGCUUUUUCCCAGCAGCGGAGGAAGAUGGGGGCUCUACUCUCCCUUCCAUUUUACAGACCCGGGAAUGGGCAGGGGCGGAUGAGGAUCUCGGUCUUGCUGGUUCCGCCCCCAAGGCCGUCCCCCAGACCCCGCCAGACCCCAUUUCGGUAAAAGGUUAAGCCAUGAUGUCCAGAGUGAGAACAACAGAUGUUUUAUACAAGCUUUUUCUGCUUCAAUUCAAACAAGGCUGUGAUGAGAUCUAACUAGAAGACCUGGAGCCUCAAGUCUCUAGAGCCUUACUAGGAAGAUUUUCCCAAAGGAACUAAACAUGCUGCUUUUUUGGUUCCAUUGUCAGUAUAAAAAACAAAUAUUAUUCUCUUGUUCCCAUUAAAACUACAAUUAAUAUUUGAAUGGGAUUCUCUGAUUUCACCUAAAGUUGUACACAAAAAUAAAACUGUGCCUAUGUAGCCAUCUUCUUUAAAGAACAAUCAAUUUAAUACGCAUGUCUCCCCAGCUACACAGAAGUCCAGACAUGAUGUAAAUAAUAUAUCCUUUCCAAGUAUAAAUGCACUCACUAUUCACAGACCUCUUUUCAGUGAGAACACACCCUCUAGAGACAAAAGCUGCCCACGUAUUGAAUAUACUGACAUAAAUGAGCUUUAUAUGGAAUUAUCAGUUGCCUUUUAUUUAUAUACAAAUGAAGUAGUUAAUGUUUCUGAGUCUUUCACUGAAUAACUUCUCAAAACCUGACUUUGCUUAGAGAAUGGAGAAGGUGAACAUUAGCACACAAAGAAAAAAGCAACUUGCCUGUAAACAGGAGAAGGCACAGUUAAGAGAUAGGACUGAACUCUUAAUUUGAACUCCUACAUGUCAAAAAUAUUGGGAGAGGCCUGGGAUCUUGAAAUUUGGAUUUUAUAACAUAGCUAUAGCUGAGCAAAUUUCCUCAGGAUAAUGAAGGAUAAAAACUUUUUCUAAAAUUUAGGAUUGUUGUUUAUUUCAAAUCCUACAAGGAUGAAGCAAGUAGACUAAAUUAAUUCCAUUACUGUUAUUUCAAUCUAAAUCUACAGUAUUUCUCAUCCUCACUAUACUGAAGACUGACAUUUGGUACCUAGGUAUUUUGGCCUUCCAGUUUUUCCUUUCCUCAUCUAAUCAAGGCUUAUAACACGUAAAAGUCCCACUAAAAUGCGACUGAUUUAGGUUCUGCUAUUAACCACUCAGUAAUGGAGGCAAUACCAGGAGAGAGAUAUUAGCCUUUGCCACCAGAAUCCUGAGUGAGCAGCAAGAUUGGAAGACACCACCACCCUUGCUCCCUUCCCAGAAACAGCCGUCCCUCUGGUGCCCAGCUAGGAACUGAAGGGCAGCAAUACCACUGUCAGCCCUUUCUUGGUGCUAUUUGGGAUUCAGGCUCCCAGUUCUCCCAUAUACUGGAAGGAAGACAGAUAGGAAGCGGUUUGAAAGCAUUCUGCUACCCACAAGUGCUGCUUUUGUUCCUGCUCUGUGUGACCAUACUAGUCUAAUUUCUGAGCUACUAUGACCUAAAAGUCUUUAGCAAGAGUCACUGCAGCAACUGCAGAUUCUGACACCACCCAGGAAGGCCAUAUCAGGAGCAUCCUACAAAGUAAA